rnacentral:rRNA from 1 species
GACGAACGCUGGCGGCGUGCUUAACACAUGCAAGUCGAACGGAAGGGCCCUGCUUUUGUGGGGUGCUCGAGUGGCGAACGGGUGAGUAACACGUGAGUAACCUGCCCUUGACUUUGGGAUAACUUCAGGAAACUGGGGCUAAUACCGGAUAGGAGCUCCUGCUGCAUGUUGGGGGUUGGAAAGUUUCGGCGGUUGGGGAUGGACUCGCGGCUUAUCAGCUUGUUGGUGGGGUAGUGGCUUACCAAGGCUUUGACGGGUAGCCGGCCUGAGAGGGUGACCGGCCACAUUGGGACUGAGAUACGGCCCAGACUCCUACGGGAGGCAGCAGUGGGGAAUAUUGCACAAUGGGCGGAAGCCUGAUGCAGCAACGCCGCGUGCGGGAUGACGGCCUUCGGGUUGUAAACCGCUUUCGCCUGUGACGAAGCGUGAGUGACGGUAAUGGGUAAAGAAGCACCGGCUAACUACGUG